ACCAGUAACUGUGGCCAAGGGCCUGGGUCAUACAAUUUGGCCUAGAUCUUAGGUCCACAGUCCAUCCUGGAGAUAGAGUUUGCAUUCAGAUUCACCCAAAACAUGUAGCCCAAGAGUGGAAGAGGUAUGUUUACCCCCUGUGAAAGAUCAAAGUUCUACUGGCCACACAGAGAGGAGAUGAUUGGGAGAUGGCUGACCACAUGAUUAUGACUUUAAACAAUAUUUUAAACUCUGUUUCUUGAGACUUUGGUUCUAGAUUGUAUCCCCAGACCUCAUACUCAUGAGUUCUCCUUCAGUCCACACCGCCCACUUGAAUCACCUUGAUCAUAUAAGAUACUUGUGUCUAUUUAGAAAGGAGAAAGACUAUGUGAUUAACAAAGGUGGCUUGGUGUAGGUAGUGAAGUUCUCUGCCACUGGCUAAGCACGUUUCCUCAAUCAGCAUAUCUCUCUAAAGGUGGAGACCACCUGUGUACAGGGUGGUCAUGUCAAUGGACAAACUUCCCUUUAGGAUAUUAGGGUAUUAGGGAAUCAUGCAGAUGGUGUUCUUUAUCCCACCAAAACACCAAAACCAAAGAACUUCCCUGUGGAACACCAAAUACCCAUACGAAAGGCCUUAGUUCUGUCUAGGUAGCAAUCUUAUUUUCUUCAUAGGGGAGAACCCAGGGAGCAAGUGAAGUCUCCGAGUCUUCUCCUGGCAGCCUAUUUGCAUGCAUAGAAAGGCGAAGAAGAAUGAGAAAGGCCAGAUGAUACAGCUGGUCUCUGCACAACCUUUUGGGCUCCUUUUCCAAUUCAGAGCUGGGACUGUGUUAAUGCCCAGUGUGGAGAUUCCCCCAAGGCUUCUUCAGAAAGAAUAUCUCUAUCCGUUUUACAACCUUCUCUUGAGUAAACCUGGGACACUGCUUCCUCUCUUCUGCUUUGGCCAUCAGUUCCAUUCACUUCCUUUCCAUCUUACAGAAAAUUCUCAAAUCUCAGCUGACUGUCCCCUUUUUAUCUCUGGUUAUCCAUUUGUUUAUUUUGCUGACUCUUCAGCAGAAUUUUGAGAAUAUAGAAAAAUGCAUGUGCUCAGUCUUGAACACACACACACACACGUAAUAUUGUAGAUAGAAUUUUUAAAACAAAAUUGGAUCUUGCCUAUUUUGCCACUGGCUUGAUCAGAUACUGUUCUCAAAGAGUCUCAAAAGUUGUUUGUCACCCCUGGGGAUAAAAAUAUAUGUUUAUAAAAAUAAAAAAAAAUUAAAAAAAAAAGUUGUCAGAGUCACCCUGGGAAAAUGGGAAUUUCUUUUUACUCCUUUUUUUUUUCUUUUAAAUAAAAUUAACAGGGUUUUGGCUUGCUUGUUUUGCUAUCCAAAUGAAUGAAUGAUUCAGAUUUCAACUUUAGGGAUGGUAUGAUCUAUUACGCAGGGAUUAAAUGGAGUUGGCAUUGAAAAGCAGGAAAUGGUACGCAUGAAAAUCAAUUGAUUCUAACCUCUGGAGGUUAAAGUGUUGUCAUCGUUUGUUUGCUAGUUUUUAAUCCUGAGCAAUUCUAAGCCAUGCCUUUUCAAACUAGAGCUUUUACUUCAAGUCCUGAGGGCGGUUGGUGAGGAAGGGUAGCAAGGAACCCCCAAUUAGAGCGGGUGAGUGACCCAGGAAGGAAACAGCUGUCUUAUGUGGGAUCUAAAAUCCAGCAAAUAUCUAUUAGUAGGACUAUGUAUAUAUUUACUGUAUGCCAAUGAUAUUCAGAAUCUCUAGGUCUACCGAGGAUGGCUAAAACACACAGAGAGUAAGAGGAAGGCUCUCUGGUGGGCUUCAGAUAGAAGAGAUGCACAUCAUUUGGAUAGACACUUUCCAGGAGAGAAUGAUGACUCACACGGGGAUGACUUAAAUGGCAUCUGGUUUCCAUUUUCUUUGUUUCUUCUCUUGGACUCCAUUCAGAGGCACUUCCUUCCAGCUGGAGCUUUUAAUGGCAUAAUGUGAAGGCAAGAUCCACAGAAGUGGGUUUAGAGGAGGGACUUGAAGGAGAAAAUGCAGAUCGUCAGGGGAGACUAUGGAAAAUUACACCCAGAUGGGUGGUAACAGAGAAUGUACACACAUCCAGACUAAAAUAUACCAAUUAAAAUAUUUAGGGAAAUGCAAAGAAGUAUAUAAUUUUUAAUAUGUGAUAACAAAAAUUUCAACUGAAUAAAAAGUCAAAGAGAUAUACUCCUGAUGAUAAUUAACAGCACAUUAAUGCCAUUUCUGUUUCCGGCCUUGGAAAAUAUGUCGGCUUUCUUUAUUUAAAUGAAUGUAGCAUAGCACUACUUGUGGUUUUUCUAUGAUCUAUCUACUCGUUCUACACACUAGCUCCAUUCACGGUGGUGAUACCCUUCUUCCUACUUCAUAGCUGGAGAAGCACUGUUGAACCUUGUCUGCUGUUCCAAACUGGUCUGGGAGGUCGGGUAGGACCAUCAUCUGGGUAGAGGGAUUGGCUUGUGCUGUUAUAAUAACCAGCAACCCAUCAGAGCCCAUACAAGACUGGAGGGGUAUAGCAAACAAUUGCUUUCCCUACGGAAGCACUCAUUCUCGUUCCUCUCACUCUUUCAGCAGCAAGGCGGGAGCUCAUUUCUCUUUUAAAAAUGAGAAUCCAUCGUAUUCUACACUUUUCUUUUUUUUCUACAUUAUGUUUCUUUCAGACAAGUAUCACCUCAAAUGAGUGAUCUGCCCCUGGUCUUGUCCUCUUCCCUAUGCCCCCAAAACACUUGCAAGAGGCCAUAUCCGUAGAGGUAGGUAUAAUGGCAUUAGAAGUUAUGACAAUGGUUCUGUUCUAGACACUGUGGUGGGUAGAGCUAAUUAAAACUGAGAACAAGCCAAAGAAUAAUUAUUGGGCAUUUGAUGAAGACAUGGCAUUGUCCAGGUGUCUGGGGAAAUAGGGUUUAAUGAGUAAUAGUACAUAUAUACAAAAUGGUAAUAUGAUAGUGAUUGUAUUACACUCUAAGAGAGGUAUAAAUAAGGCUAAUGGGGAUAAUAGAGAUUAGUUUUGAUGGUGGGGGUCAGAGAGGGGAGUACAAAGUAGAGAAUACUGGUCAAAGGAGAAUAUGGAAUGUGUGGGGAGGAUUCUCUGCCUCAUUGAUUUAGAUAAAUCCAGAGGGAGUGCCAACUUCCCACGUAGGCCCUGGGGUCCAUGAACACAGAUGCCAAACAGAUCAGGCAGGUACCGUAAAUACGUGAAUCCAGCCAUGUGUAAGGCAGUUGGGAAUGGUAGAACUUGUGAUGAACUGAGGGUAUGUCUACCAAAAUUCUAUUUCAUAUUAAAAAUUCAUAGUCAAACAAUUCAAGUCAUUGCCUGCAAAUCUUCUCUGUCAUCCAAAGGUCUUCCUGUGCCUCUAAGUUUAGAACCAACCACCUCCUCCAGCCCAAAGAGAGACCCAAGCUUUCCUCCAAUGACACAGUCACAUCUGCAUAACUAACAGAGUCCUCUAGAAUUGGUGCUCUGGAACUAUGAUAGAGGUAGGCCUCAGAGACAAAUAUACUUUUCCACAAUGGAAGACCAGAUUCGUUAAAAGUCAGUUUUGUUAGCCUCCACAGGAUAUUCCAUCACUCACGGGCCACAAAACCAGCAGUGGAAGAGCUGGCAGAGUUAGCUCAGUCUGUCAUUGCUCCAGGGGUGUUUCUGGAAUCUGAGGGCUCAGCAGGCUGAAGAGAAAGAGGAAUGCCACUGCUUCAUGUGUUGGACUCUUGAGUAAGAUCCUGUCUGAAGAAAGAAGACCUUUGAAUAUUUUUACAAUGGAGACAAGCAAAUCGCAUCCACCUCUUCAGAGAAGGACUUGGCUGUGAUGCCCUGCCUUGGUCUUCCUUCUGGUAUUCCUGUGAGGGAAAACUCCACUGCUCUCAUUUGCUAAUGACCCUCAACUCAGAACCCUUCACUCUUGGUCACCACAUAUGUAGGCAUUUCCUCACACCAAACCUUUAAUUCUUGGCAAAGACUGACUGGGUGGCUUACAAAUUUAACCCAAUUCUGACUUCUAGGAGAAGGGCUCAGUCCUGCAAGGCCGCCCUCACCUCAGAUGAUAACCUCAAGUGGAGCUUGGCACCUGUACCCUUGACGGACCAGCUAUAAAUCAGGGUUCCUAUGGCCCUCUCUUCAGGCACAAGAAAAAUAAAGCUCUCUGUCUAACACUUUACCAGUUCUUCCUGCUGUGGGAUUCCUGGAAGACGACCUUGCUCAGCCUCAGACAACUCUUUCCACGAUGCAUUUGUGUCAUCAGCUCUUCUUCCAACAGAGAGAGAUCACAAGCAGGCAGAGAGGCAAGCAGAGAGAGAGAGAGGAGGAAGUGGGCUCCCUGCCGAGCAGAGAGCCUGAUGCGGGACUUGAUUCCAGGACCUUGAGAUUGUGACUUGAGCCAAAGGCAGAGGCUUAACCCACUGAGCCACCCAGGUGCCCCAUUGGCUAACCUAACUUUUUGACACACUUUAAAAUUGUUAAUAAAAUUCAUUCUAACUUUGGCCAUUUGAAUAUAAAAAAUAAUAAUCAUAAAAAUAAGAAACAUAUAGAAAAGCACAUAGAAAAAAUCCAUCAUCUUAUCACACAACAUGCGUGGGCAAUAUUUUUUUGUAUAUUAUUUCCCAUUUUUUCUAUUCUGUAAAAAUAAGUGGGUGUGAAGAUUUUUAUAUGUAUAUUUCAUGUGCCUAUGUGUUAAAAUGAUAGAACAUAUUGUUUUAUCAACUCAUAUCUUAUUUUAUUUAUUUAUUUUUAAAGAUUUUAUUUAUUUAUUUGACAGACAGAGAUCACAAGUAGGCAGAGGCAGGCAGAGAGAGAGAGAGGAGGAAGCAGGCUCCCCGCUGAGCAGAAAGCCCGAUGCGGGGCUCGAUUCCAGGACUCUGGGAUCAUGACCUGAGCCGAAGGCAGAGGCUUUAACCCACUGAGCCACCCAAGCAUCCCUAAACUCCUAUUUUAAACUUUUGAAGAUUGAUUGAUUGAUUUUAGAGACAGUACCCAUGAACAGGGAAAGCAUCAAAGAGGAGGGAGAGGGACAAGCCGACUCUCCACUGAGCACAGAGCCUGACCCAGAGUUCCAUCGCAGGAUCCUGAGAUCAUGACCUAAGCUGAAAUCAAGAGUCGGACACUUAACUGACUGAGCCACCCAAGGCACCCCCAUAUUUUACACUUUAUAAUAUAUUAAUGUAUUUUAGUAUCAGUGGUGACAGUGAUGAUUAUUGUUACUGUGUGCCAGGCAUAGGGCUAAGAUGUCAUCUUCAUAAUGACCCUAGGAGAUGCUAGUGUCACUCAUUUUUCAUAUGAGGGAGCAGACACUGAAGGGGUUAAGUGCUGCUUGAAGUCAUGAAGCAAGUAGUUGUUGGAAUCAGAACCUGAAAUGAGGUCUCAUUCCAGAACCUGCUAUUUAACAUUCCAUGAUACUGCUUUCCUUCUCCAGACAGUAAAUAUUCUUAGAUCAUAUGUUUUUAUUAACACUAUAUUUGUUAGAGAAAUUUAAAGUUCAUAGCAAAAUUGAGGGGAAGUUACAGAGAUUUCCCAUGUAAUGCCCCCACACGAGUAAACCUCCCCAAUUAUUCACAUCCCCCACCAGAGUGGUGCGUUUGUUACACUUGAUGACCCUAUGUUGGCUCACCAUCGUCAUCACUCAAAGUUCACAGUUGACCUUAGGGUUCACUGUUGGUGUUGCACGUUCCAUGGGUUUGGACAAAUGUAUAAUAACAUUAUCCAUCAUUAUGGUAUCAUGCAGAGUAUUUUCACUAUCCUAAAAAUCCUCUGUGCUCUGCCUAUUUUCCCCUUCCCACGCCCCCUUCUAUCAUACUUUGGUGGGUAUAUACUGUAUCAUAGUAUAUAAUAUUAUUAUUAUUAUUAAUAUGUGAUAUGUUCAAUUUUCCAGUAAUGUGAAUGACACUGUGAUGAAUAUCCUUUUCAAUAAAUGUUUGCAUAUAUCUUUGGUGACAUGGAAAUAAGGAAGUGAGCAUUGGUUGCUUAUUUGGGAGUGAUCCAGAAAGGGAAGCAGAAUCAGUAAGGGGAGUGAGAAGGGAAGGGAAGAAAGUCAAAACGGGGUAUUAAUGAGCAGGUUGCCACAAUGGGCAGCUGAGGCUCAUUUCCACCAUGACCUUUGCGGGUCUAUAUUGAACUCCCCUCACUGUUGUCCCCCCUGAGGCUGAGGAAUCCUCAACUUCUGUGUAUAAUUAGUUGAGAACUCCUUCCAGGCGUGUUAACUUCUUGGAACUUCUUGCCAGCCUCCAGUGUGAUCUGGCACACUUCCUUACCCAAAAAAUAUCCCAGGCAGAGUGUGCCAGUGCUGGCCACUGGAAACCAGCUUGUGUACCCAGAGGGAUAUAGAUGGGUGCUGACAACAUCUGCUACUGCAGAUAUCUGUGAUCUUUUCUUUCUGGAUAAACUUAGGAUAUUUCAAGAUAUCCUUGCCAAAUUGGCCCACAGAAAUGUUGCACCAGUUUGUAAAUACCUUCUGUGUUACAACCAAUGUUGGGUCCGCCAUGCUUACUCAAUUCAUUAUGUAUAAAAAGUUACCUUGCUUGCAUUUUCUUAAUCAGUGUUGCAGUUAAAUUUUUUUCAUUUGCUAAUUAGUAUACGUAGUAUUUUUUUUUUACAUUGUCCUUCAUUUACUUUAAGCAUUUUUCUGUUAAAAUGUGCUAUUUUCUUAUGUCUUGUAAAUAUUUUUUCCCAGUUCAUUCUCUGGAUUUUAAUUUUUAUAAUUUAUUAAUGUGGAAAGUUUUAAGUGUUUGUAUACUCUUAUCCAUAGUUCGACUCCUUAAUGGACUCAUAUUUUUCAUGUAUAAUUUCUUUAACUUUCAAACAGUUUAUGUUACUAUAUUAUGUUAACAUAUACCAACAUAGGAAUCAAAUAGCCUAUUUUUCCCAAGCUGACUUGAAAUUCCACUUUACUAUGUUCUGUGACAGAUCAAUUUAUUAAGAAACAUAUUAAUGGAUUUUUAAUUGAUUUGUAUUUUCUUAUUUUUACUGGUAUCCAUGUUCAGAAUACUUAUUAUUUUUAAUGUAUAUAACAUAUAUUAAUUUUAAUAUGUAUAAUAAAUUUUAAUUCACUUAUUAAUUUUAAUGCUACUCACAAUACUCAUUAACUUUAAAAAUUCAAAUUUCCUUUAUUCAUAUUAAUUUCUGACCAUAUGGCUCACUAUUGCAAUAUCUUGGCUACCCAUUGUAUACCCACACUUGCCUAUAAUCUGGCAUGGAUAUAUAACAGUCUUUAUGAUUAUUCUCUAACUUCUUGUAUUCUUUAACAUUCCAACCUUUAAGUCACACUCUUAAUGUCAACCAGAAAGAAAACAUUCCUUUAACUUGAAUUUUUAUUAUAAACGUAACUUGAACAUGAUUUUGAAAUGAUCUCGUCUCUGCACAAGGCAAUGCUGUCUUCAGUGGGAUACGUUAUUUGAUUAUAAAAUAAAAUUCUAGAAAUUGGUGCAUGUUGAAUCAGCCACCAGGGACUCCUUAUGUUUCCACAACUGCAAUAUCAGUAGCAUUAGAGUGGAGAUUGCCUCUAAGCGUUCGAGCUUCAACAAUAUGCCUUUUCUGAUUUUGUAGCUACAUGGAGGAAGUGAGCCAGAACUGGGGCACACAGCAUCAUAAGCUGCCUGUCGCUUAGAUACCAGACUCCCUGAUUCAAUAUGUGCCUGUCACGUAUUACACUUACCACUUUCCAAGCUGUGCGCCUCAAAGCCCAGUCUGUGUGGUCUCAUCCCACUGUAUCGAAAUGUCAAGGGGUUGCUUAUUAUCAGGACUUGAAAAAAUUGAGUGUUCUAAGACAAGAAGCCUCAGAAUGGUUUCCUGACUAUACAGUAUUGAAGGAAUACAUCUUCUUCAGAAAGCAUUCCUACACAUCCUGUGAGGGGUUGAAUUGUGCUCCACCAACCCUUAAAUUCACAUGUUGAAGUCCUAACCCCCAGGACUUCAGAAUGUGACCUUUUUGGGAGACAGGGUCUUUAUAGAGAUAAUGAAAUUAAAAUGAGAUCGAACGAGUGGGCCCAAAUCCAGUAUGACUGGUGUACUUAUAAGAAGCGGGAAUUCGGACACAAGGGCAGACAUGCACAGAGAGAAGAGGUCUGUAUAUAAACAAAGGAAUGCCUGAGGUCACCAGAAGCUAGGAGAGAGACCUAGAAUAGCUCUUUCUCUACUUUUUCAGAGCGAGCAUAGACCUCUGAACAUGCUGAUCUUGGACUGCUGACCUCCAGAAUUUUGAGACAAUAAAUUUCUGUUGUUUAAGCUACCUAAUGCAUGGUACUUUGUUAUAGCAGCCCUAGCAAACUAAUACCUUGUCCCUGUCUUUUUUACUUCCUUGUACUCUCAAAGCAUUUUGCUUAUACCUCUACAUGGAUUUGUCACAUUUUAUUGAGUUUUAAACUUUUCUAAUUAUUUUUGAAUAGGUAGUACAUGCAUAUGGGGAAAAAUUCCAAGAGUACAGAACAGCAUAAAACAGACUUGGAGUGGAAACAGUCCUCCUCAGCUGCUUCCCUACAGCACUCCACCCUCACUCCCCCAAGUGCCUUUCCAAGAGGCAACCAUCAUUAUCUAUAACUUACAUCCUUGGUUUCAUGAUCAUUCCUAGUUUCAUUUCCUGUUUCCUCUCAAUGACCAUAAGCCUUUGGGGGAAGGGAUAUUGCUUCCUUUUGUGUAAUUUCAGCUCUCGAUAAAUCUUAUUUUAAUGAACUGUUUACCAGCUAAGUUCAGGCACACUGAUACAUAAAAUUCAAGCUGGGUUGAACGCUCUGAUUGUGAUUAAUAUCUAAACACUCCUGUUACUUAAUCAUUUAUACCAUUAGUAUGAAGCAGGACUUGAGUGAAGAUUUUGCCUGGGGGGCAGAACCAGAAGAUAGUGAGGAACCUGGUGAUGUCGCACAGAGCAAGUGGAAAGAAUUUCACUGAAAAGGAAGUGAAAACUUUGUUAGUCUGACUUCUCCUUUGCUAUUCAUAAUGAUUCUCAGUAAUGGGGUUUGAAUAGGA